rnacentral:rRNA from 1 species
GACGAACGCUGGCGGCGUGCCUAAUACAUGCAAGUAGAACGCUGAAGAGAGGAGCUUGCUCUUCUUGGAUGAGUUGCGAACGGGUGAGUAACGCGUAGGUAACCUGCCUGGUAGCGGGGGAUAACUAUUGGAAACGAUAGCUAAUACCGCAUAAGAGUAGAUGUUGCAUGACAUUUGCUUAAAAGGUGCAAUUGCAUCACUACCAGAUGGACCUGCGUUGUAUUAGCUAGUUGGUGAGGUAACGGCUCACCAAGGCGACGAUACAUAGCCGACCUGAGAGGGUGAUCGGCCACACUGGGACUGAGACACGGCCCAGACUCCUACGGGAGGCAGCAGUAGGGAAUCUUCGGCAAUGGACGGAAGUCUGACCGAGCAACGCCGCGUGAGUGAAGAAGGUUUUCGGAUCGUAAAGCUCUGUUGUAAGAGAAGAACGAGUGUGAGAGUGGAAAGUUCACACUGUGACGGUAUCUUACCAGAAAGGGACGGCUAACUACGUGCCAGCAGCCGCGGUAAUACGUAGGUCCCGAGCGUUGUCCGGAUUUAUUGGGCGUAAAGCGAGCGCAGGCGGUUAGAUAAGUCUGAAGUUAAAGGCUGUGGCUUAACCAUAGUACGCUUUGGAAACUGUUUAACUUGAGUGCAAGAGGGGAGAGUGGAAUUCCAUGUGUAGCGGUGAAAUGCGUAGAUAUAUGGAGGAACACCGGUGGCGAAAGCGGCUCUCUGGCUUGUAACUGACGCUGAGGCUCGAAAGCGUGGGGAGCAAACAGG